ensembl:lncRNA
CCUCAAUUCAGGUUAAUUCACUUGGAAUUGAAAAGGCAUUCGCUAUUCAUAUCUGAAUGACACACAACAAUGAAGGAGUAAAUGUUUCAGUUUAAAAUGAUCUUUUGAAAGGUUCACAUCUGAAGAACCUUUCUGUUUCACAAAAGAUUCUUUGUGGAGAAAGAAGGUUCUUCAUAUUAUAAAAAGGAAAGAGGGACUGCAUAAAAUGUGGCAAAGCAAUGGUCCCUCCUUAUAUAUUUGAGAAAAUUGGUGGAAAAGUAUCAUGCAAGUCCUGGAAAACAAGUAUGUUAUGCCAAGGCACAAACCUCAAGAGUCUCAUGUAGAUGAGAACAGGAAGAAUUGAUGAUGAAUAUUUUGAACAUACCUGAACUGGAAAGUUUACCCUUCGUAAAUUAUGUGCCGAGCAUUAUUUAUUUAGCACUUUCAGUCACUUGAUAGGCAGAGCUCAUAAUUCCAGUAAUUUUGUUUCAAUAAAC